AUGGAUUGGGUGCAAGGAGGCGAGUCAAUGGCGCCGGCGCUCGCCGCACCGGGAAUCUCCCCGGCGGCCGACUGCAGAUCCAACCAAGCCGCCGGCGACCCGUCCUCCGCAGUCAGGCCGAUCGAUGGAGGGUUGUCGGGGUCGGAUCUAUCGUGGCGUCCAGCCAUCCAGGAUAUCGCGCGAGUCCCAGACGAAACGUCAUUCUCCAAUGCGCACAUAGGGCUAGUAACGCCUCCGGCCACACUGAAGGGCGCGAAUGCAUGCACCUACAGCUCAUAUUUUAAUCCAGAUGUACGUGAUGAUGAUUCUGGAAACGUUAUAGUUGUGCCUGGAUGGAAGAAACGGAAUGUUGGGGCUAAUGGCCCUGACACGAGGACACCUCCGUCCACAAAGACGGCCAUCGAGCGACGUCUGCUCGAAAUGAAUGAUCGUAGAGGCAGUGAAAUCUUCGAACCAGUGGUCGGAACCGACUUCGACUCAUGUCAAGAAGCAUAUGAUUUCUACAAUUUGUAUUCGUGGGAGCACGGAUUCGGCAUUCGGUGUGGCAGAAGCAGAGUUAACACAAACAAAUACAAGUUGAUGCACGAACUUGUUUGUCAAUGCGCGGGCAAGAAUGACAAAGAAAACUCGUCAUCAUGCAAGAUCGAUUGCAAGGCCAUGGUGAGAUUGCUGCGUACCAAGGAUCAUGAAUGGUACGUCAGUAUGUUUGUCAAGGAGCACAACCAUCGUUUGUCGGUUGGAUACGAUGCAAAACUCUAG
rnacentral:rRNA from 1 species